ACCCGCUGAAUUUAAGCAUAUCACUAAGCGGAGGAAAAGAAACUAACCAGGAUUCCCUUAGUAACGGCGAGUGAAGAGGGAAGAGCCCAGCGCCGAAGCCUGCAGCCGCUUGGCUGUUAGGCAAUGUGGUGUUUGGGUCGGCUCGCGGGAUUGCCACUCCACUCGAAGUCCAGCAUUGAGUAUGGUCACUGGAUUUGGCCCAGAGAGGGUGAAAGGCCCGUACGGGUGGAGGUUCAGACAUGUAAGGCAGUUCACCAGGCCGGCCUAAGAGUCGGGUUGUUUGGGAGUGCAGCCCAAAGAGGGUGGUAAACUCCAUCCAAGGCUAAAUACGUGCACGAGUCCGAUAGCGAACAAGUACCGUGAGGGAAAGUUGAAAAGUACUCUGAAGAGAGAGUAAACAGUACGUGAAGCCGCAUGCAGGUAAACAGGUGGCGUCAAGCUGCAGGUUCGGAGAAAUCAGCUGAUUGGGUGCUUUGCCUGAUGUAGCCGGUUGAGUAGUCCGUUGGAAGUGGUGGGUCUGGUCGUGAGGCCAGAUGUGUGUACCGGGUGGUUGCCGGAGCAUGCUACUCGUCUGAAUGGCUGCCUAGUCAGUGCACUUUCUCUGUGACUAGCACCACGACCGGUGGGAUCGCCAGUCUGCCAUGGCCGAGUCGUGCCUGCGAUGGUCUUUCGGCCAUUUGGGUGCGAUCACAGGCAAAGUCAGUGUACGGCGCAGAGGUGCUUUGGUGCCUUUGCGUGCAAUCGGCUACUGGUUGUCAACGGGUCUGCCCGGUGGUUGUUGUAGCCGCUGCCGGGUGAUCCGGUGGACCAUGGUGGUAUGAAUAACUGUGCGAGGCACCGAGAGCUUCGGCCUCAAAUGCAGUCCGCAUACACGUGGCAAGUGGAGAGGGGCAGGGGUGCUGCCUGCUCACUGUUAGGUCUGACUGCUGUGUUGCCUGCAAAAAGUGGGCCCGGUGGUGGCCUGAUGUGAGGUGGGUGGUGCUUGGCGCUUCCUGUGUGGAUUGCAGUGGGCCGGAAAGUCUGUGGUGUGGUGGUAGACCAGCCACCUGACCCGUCUUGAAACACGGACCAAGGAGUUUAACAUGUGUGCGAGUCAAAGGGUCCUACGAAACCCCGAGGCGCAGUGAAAGUGAAGCUUCGAUUUUUUCUCGAAGUAAGGUGGGAUCCUGCCGUUACUCGCAGCAGCCUAUGCUAGCAUCGGGCUAAGAGCGGUGGGCGCACCACCGGCCCGUCUCAUGAUGUGGCCACCGGGUGGCUGUGAUCGAUGUCUGCUUUUGGCGUCAGCGUUCGCGGAGCCGGUGCGUCAUCGGGGCGGAGCAUGAGCAUACAUGUUAUGACCCGAAAGAUGGUGAACUAUGCUUGCGUAGGUUGAAGCCAGAGGAAACUCUGGUGGAGGGCCGCAGCGAUUCUGACGUGCAAAUCGAUCGUCAAACGUGAGUAUAGGGGCGAAAGACUAAUCGAACCAUCUAGUAGCUGGUUCCCUCCGAAGUUUCCCUCAGGAUAGCUGGCACUCAUUCGCAUGAUCAGUUUUAUCCGGUAAAGCGAAUGAUUAGAGGUACUGGGUUCGGAAUGAGCUCAACCUAUUCUCAAACUUUAAAUGGGUGAGAUGCCCGUCUCGCCUUAUAGGAGUCGGGCGCUGAAUGUGCGGGUGCCAAGUGGGCCAUUUUUGGUAAGCAGAACUGGCGCUGUGGGAUGAACCAAACGCUCGGUUAAGGUGCCUAACGCGACGCUCAUGAGAUACCACAAAAGGUGUUGGUUAAUAUAGACAGCAGGGCGGUGGCCAUGGAAGUCGGCAUCCGCUAAGGAGUGUGUAACAACUCACCUGCCGAAUUGACCAGCCCUGAAAAUGGAUGGCGCUGGAGCGUCGGACCUAUACCGGGCCGUCAUUGCAAGCUGGGUCGCUGGCAAAGUGUGUUGGUGCGAGCGGUGUUUGUCACGCCGUACGGAUGUCGUGGUCCAGGCGCGGAUGCGAUGGCGAGUAGGAGGGUCGCCGUGGUGAGCGUGGAAGCCUCGGGCGUGAGCCUGGGUGGAGCCGCCACGGGUGCAGAUCUUGGUGGUAGUAGCAAAUAUUCAAGUGAGAUCCUUGAAGGCCGAGGUGGAGAAGGGUUCCAUGGGAACAGCAGUUGCCCAUGGGUCAGGCGGUCCUAAGCGAUCCGGUGACUCGGUGCAGAGACUUGGGGUGCCUUGCGUGCUGUGGUGAGUGCGUGGUUUUGUAAGUGUUGGCUAUGCUGGCAGCCCCCCGGAGCGAAAGGGAAUCGGGUUAAUAUUCUCGAACCCUGCCCACGGAGAUAGGUGUCAUUCGGCUGUGCCACGCAAGUGGUCAAGUCGGGGUGUCGCCCUGCGCGGUAACGCAACCGAACUCGGAGACGUCGGCAGAAGUUCUGGGAAGAGUUUUCUUUUCUUUGUAAGGAUGGCUACCACCCCUGGAAUCGGGUUGUCCGGAGAUAGGGGUAUCGCCUCCGUAAAGCACCACCCCUCCUGUGGUGUCCGGAACGCUUUU
rnacentral:rRNA from 1 species